rnacentral:misc_RNA from 1 species
GAUGAAGAACGUAGCGAAAUGCGAUACGUAAUGUGAAUUGCAGAAUUCAGUGAAUCAUCGAAUCUUUGAACGCAUAUUGCGCUCUUUGGUAUUCCGAAGAGCAUGCUUGUUUGAGUAUCAGUAAACACCUCAAAGCUUUUGGAUUUUUUAAUCGAAAAGCUUUGGACUUGAGCAAUCCCACCACCAAUCUUUUUGAGAUCGGUGGCGGGUUGCUUGAAAUGCAGGUGCAGCUGGACAUUCUCCUGAGCUAAAAGCAUAUUCAUUUAGUCCCGUCAAACGGAUUAUUACUUUUGCUGCAGCUAACAUAAAGGGAGUUUGACCGUAUUGGCUGACUGAUGCAGGAUUUCACAAGGGUCGGCAACGAUUCUUGUUAAACUCGAUCUCAAAUCAAGUAAGACUACCCGCUGAACUUAAGCAUAUCAAUAAGCGGAGGA